ACCAUCCACCAAGAAGUCUGAAGAGGUCACCUGAUCUUGGACUCUCAGUCUCCAAAACUGAAACCGAAGGAGGGCAGCUCAGGACACCGGGGAAGAGGAAGGUUAAGAAAUGACAAGUUUCAUGAGUAAUAUUUCAGCAGGAAGUGAAAAUCUCAACAGAUGUUAUCAAUAUCAGGGCUGCUGCAGGCUGGGGGGGUCCCUGCCAAUGUCUGGCCCUACCCAAGCCUCCACUUCCCGGGUACACCAGCUGCCUCCCGGUUGCUGAGCCUUCAAGCCCCUUCCUCACCCUGCCUGGGUGCCAGCACAGCACACCCAGCACUGCAGGUUGUCGGGAACUUCAGGGUCAGCUGCUGGCCCACGCAGAUGCCCACCAACCACCAGCUGAAUGGAAGUGGUUACA